rnacentral:tRNA from 1 species
GCUCCUAUGGUCUAGUGGUUAUGACGCUUCGUUGUGGUUGGACUAGCUUAAUAGAUUUUAUAAUUACCGAAGCAGCUUGUGUUCGAUUCACAAUAGGGGCA